AGUGAACGCUGGCGGUAGGCCUAACACAUGCAAGUCGAACGGCAGCACAGUAAGAGCUUGCUCUUACGGGUGGCGAGUGGCGGACGGGUGAGGAAUACAUCGGAAUCUACUUUUUCGUGGGGGAUAACGUAGGGAAACUUACGCUCAUACCGCAUACGACCUACGGGUGAAAGCAGGGGAUCUUCGGACCUUGCGCGAUUGAAUGAGCCGAUGUCGGAUUAGCUAGUUGGCGGGGUAAAGGCCCACCCAGGCGACGAUCCGGAGCUGGUCUGAGAGGAUGAGCAGCCAGACUGGGACUGUGACACGGUACAGAGGCCUACGGGAGGGAGCAGUGGGGAAUAUUGGAGAAUGGGCGCAAGCCUGAUCCAGCCAUACCGCGUGGGUGAAGAAGGCCUUCGGGUUGUAAAGCCCUUUUGUUGGGAAAGAAAAGCAGCAGGUUAAUACCGCGCUGUUCGGACGGUAACCAAAGAAUAAGCACCGGCUAACUUCGUG
rnacentral:rRNA from 1 species